ACUAGCAAGAACGUCCAAAGCGUCACGUGAUCGGCCCGCACGUGAUUCUUCACGUGAUCGACUGCUCGAAGAGUUACACAAGCCAGGUAUAAAAACAACUGCGCUGAUUGUUUUUAGACCAAAUCACCGGACUCUGGUGGGGCAGCGGGAUGCAGCAACUGAGUCUAGCGGGCCUAGGGCUCGCUCUGACCCUCCUGGCUUUGCCGGGAGGGUCGAAUGCCUUCCUGGAUUCGAUGUGUAACUCCACACAUUCAAUCUACGACACGUCCGUCAGUUUGCUGAAUGGCACCAGUUACAAACUGGACCAAUACAGCGGUAAAGUGUUGGUCAUCGUCAAUGUGGCUAGUUUCUGAGGUCUAGCCGCCCCUCAGUACCCUUCACUGAAUGCACUCCGCAAGGCGUACGAGGGAAAAAUCGAGAUUCUGGGCUUCCCCUGCAACCAAUUCCUGCUGCAGGAGCCGGAAGCAAACGGCGAGAUUCUCAACUUGUUAAAGUAUGUCCGACCUGGGAAGGGAUUCAUGCCGACUUUCCCCAUGCACGAAAAGGUGGAAGUCAAUGGAAAGACUGCCCAUCAGCUGUACAAGACGCUGAAGGGUUUCUGUCCAGCAGUCAAGGAGGAGAUUGGUGACCCAACCAAUUUCUACUGGACUCCUAUCAGCAACAACGAUAUCACUUGGAACUUUCAGAAGUUCCUGAUUGACACCAAAGGGUUCCCCUUCAAGCGUUAUGACCCACUGGUGGAUCCUUCGAUGUUGAAGACUGACAUUGACGCGCUGCUCAGCAAAUCCAAAUAAUUUACUUGAAUUUCUUCAUUUUCAUAAGGAAACCACCACCAGCCCCCACCCCCACUUUCUCAGGGUCCCAAUUUUACAGCUUUGUGAAAUAAUUUUUCUUAGCAGACAAUAAAUCAUGUGCUUUGCAAAAUUCAGAUAAUAACCAAGUGAAUAUCAAAUGACAUUUUACCUGGUUCUUUUCGUAUAAUUUAACAAUGAAAUCUCACCCUGAAAUACACUAUACUAUCAGACAUCUGAAAUCUUCAACAUUUGAAGUGAUCUGUUCAAUACAUUUUGGUGAGGUUGGAAUUCAAACACUUACCUUGCCUUGGAUCCUGGUUCGAUUCCCACCUAGUUUUCCUUACAACUAACGGCAAUCAAAGCUUUAUUUUCCUCUUGAAAUCUUCAUUUUCCUCUUUCCUUUUUGCGAUCCUGAAGCUGAUAAAGAAUUUUUUUUAUAAAAUAAUACUUUUCUUUACAAUAAUUAAUCCCCCGUUUGAGUCCCCAAUUUUCGCACAAAUAAAAUAUCUCAAAAACUGUAUGUUAAAAUUUGUAUUUUCAAGAUGAAAUUUCCAAUUCAAGUAAACCACUUACGUUUACAGUAGUUAGCAGUAAAGAUUGUAAGACAUGCAUUUACAAAUGUAUUCAUAGUACUUAAUUGAUGGCUUUGUAAAGAACUCGAGCUUUCUGUGCGAUAAACUUGUGAUACACAAUUUAUGACGAGCAAAUCUUAAACGCUUUGUGCGAGGGGUUUGUUCCGAUGUCACCCUACAUGUCUGCCCUUGUGCAUUCGGGCACGCAUGGAAAGAGUGAGUGUGUAGACACAAUGCAGAAAUGUUUGUAAAAUCCUACAGAGUCUUGAUUUCUUUCUUGGUCAUGGAAAACCAAUUUUUGUAAAAGCAAGCAAACAGGAUGAACAUGUAAUUUGUUUGAAUUAAAUAUUCUUUACAACCAGUCAA